AAGAAAAAUAUUUUAUUUGUUUUUGUAUUUAUUAAUAAUUUAAUUUUAUUUAGUGAUAAAUUAUUUGUACUGUGAAGGUUGAUUGAAAUAGAAAUAAUUUAUUAUUUAAGUUAAUUUUACUUAUUGUACCUUGUGUAUCAGGAUUAAUUAAAUGUUUAUUAUAAAUUUUAAUGUUCUCGAUUUUAUAAGAGUUAAUUUAUUAGUUUAGUUAUUAUUUUAUAAAUAUUAAUAAUAGUAAGUUGGUAAUGAUAUGUUAAUCGUUUAUAAGGGUAUCUAGUUUUUUAGGAAAUAAAUUUAAUUUACAUUUUUUCUUUAAUUUUUUUCUUUUUAAUAUAAUUUAAGUUUAAAUGAAUAAUAAGGGGGAUAAGCUCCUUAUUAAAUUCCUAUAAAAUAUAAUUUUUGAUUAAAUUGUGUUGAUUUAAUAGUGAUCAUCAUUAUGAGUAUGUUAAAAUAUUAUUUAUUUAUUGUUUAAUUUUGGUGUUUUUAGGUUUAUACUAAGAAAUUUUAGUAAAUUUUUUUUUAAUUUUAAUUAUGAUUAAAUUAGUAUAUUAAUAUAUUUGUAUAAUUUUUUUAUUAGUAAGUAAAUUUGAGGAAUUAGGCAAAGGAGAUUAUUCGCCUGUUUAACAAAAACAUCUUUUCUUGUAUUUGAAUAUGAAGUAUAACCUGCUCAAUGAAUUCUAAAUAGCCGCGGUAUAUUGACCGUGCAAAGGUAGCAUAAUCAUUAGUCUUUUAAUUGUAGGCUGGAAUGAAUGGUUGGACGAAAUAAUAACUAUCUUAGAUUUAUUAAUUUGAAUUUAAUUAUUGUGUUAAAAAGCACAAAUUUUUUUUUGGGACGAGAAGACCCUAUAGAGUUUAAUAAUUAAUAUAUUUUUUUAGCAUUUGAUGUUUUAUUAAUUAUAUAAUAUUAUUUUGUUGGGGUGAUAUAAAGAUAUAAUGAACUCUUUUUAUUUAUUGUUUAUAAUUUAAUAUUUAUUUGAUCCAUUUUUAAUGAUUAAAAGAUUAAAUUACCUUAGGGAUAACAGCGUAAUCUUAUUUGAGAGUUCUUAUUGACAAUAAGGGUUGCGACCUCGAUGUUGGAUUAAGAAUAUUCUUAGGUGCAAAAGCUUAAGAUUUAGGUCUGUUCGACCUUUAAAUUCUUACAUGAUCUGAGUUCAAACCGGUGUGAGCCAGGUUGGUUUCUAUCUAUUAAUAAAUUUAUUAUUUUAGUACGAAAGGACCAAAUAAUAAAAAUAAUUUUUAUUAUUUGAAUAAUAUUAAUAUUUA
rnacentral:rRNA from 1 species